ACGCUCGACACCUACGGGAGGCAGCAGUGGGGAAUAUUGGGCAAUGGGCGCAAGCCUGACCCAGCAACGCCGCGUGAAGGAAGAAGGCUUUCGGGUUGUAAACUUCUUUUCUUGAGGACGAAGAAGUGACGGUACUCAAGGAAUAAGCUCCGGCUAACUACGUGCCAACAGCCGCGGUAAUCUGAGGCGGGCUGGCAAGGC
rnacentral:rRNA from 1 species